rnacentral:rRNA from 1 species
CGGUCCUAAGGUAGCGAAAUUCCUUGUCGGGUAAGUUCCGACCUGCACGAAUGGCGUAAUGAUGGCCAGGCUGUCUCCACCCGAGACUCAGUGAAAUUGAACUCGCUGUGAAGAUGCAGUGUACCCGCGGCAAGACGGAAAGACCCCGUGAACCUUUACUAUAGCUUGACACUGAACAUUGAGCCUUGAUGUGUAGGAUAGGUGGGAGGCUUUGAAGUGUGGACGCCAGUCUGCAUGGAGCCGACCUUGAAAUACCACCCUUUAAUGUUUGAUGUUCUAACGUGGGCCCCUUACCGGGGUUGCGGACAGUGUCUGGUGGGUAGUUUGACUGGGGCGGUCGCCUCCUAAAGAGUAACGGAGGAGCACGAAGGUUGGCUAAUCCUGGUCGGACAUCAGGAGGUUAGUGCAAUGGCAUAAGCCAGCUUGACUGCGAGCGUGACGGCGCGAGCAGGUGCGAAAGCAGGUCAUAGUGAUCCGGUGGUUCUGAAUGGAAGGGCCAUCGCUCAACGGAUAAAAGGUACUCCGGGGAUAACAGGCUGAUACCGCCCAAGAGUUCAUAUCGACGGCGGUGUUUGGCACCUCGAUGUCGGCUCAUCACAUCCUGGGGCUGAAGUAGGUCCCAAGGGUAUGGCUGUUCGCCAUUUAAAGUGGUACGCGAGCUGGGUUUAGAACGUCGUGAGACAGUUCGGUCCCUAUCUGCCGUGGGCGCUGGAGAACUGAGGGGGGCUGCUCCUAGUACGAGAGGACCGGAGUGGACGCAUCACUGGUGUUCGGGUUGUCAUGCCAAUGGCACUGCCCGGUAGCUAAAUGCGGAAGAGAUAAGUGCUGAAAGCAUCUAAGCACGAAACUUGCCCCGAGAUGAGUUCUCCCUGACUCCUUGAGAGUCCUGAAGGAACGUUGAAGACGACGACGUUGAUAGGCCGGGUGUGUAAGCGCAGCGAUGCGUUGAGCUAACCGGUACUAAUGAACCGUGAGGCUUAACCUU